CCCUCGGGGCCAACCUCCCACCCGUGUUGCCCGAACCUAUGUUGCCUCGGCGGGCCCCGCGCCCGCCGACGGCCCCCCUGAACGCUGUCUGAAGUUGCAGUCUGAGACCUAUAACGAAAUUAGUUAAAACUUUCAACAACGGAUCUCUUGGUUCCGGCAUCGAUGAAGAACGCAGCGAAAUGCGAUAACUAAUGUGAAUUGCAGAAUUCAGUGAAUCAUCGAGUCUUUGAACGCACAUUGCGCCCUCUGGUAUUCCGGAGGGCAUGCCUGUCCGAGCGUCAUUGCUGCCCUCAAGCCCGGCUUGUGUGUUGGGCCCCGUCCCCCCCGCCGGGGGGACGGGCCCGAAAGGCAGCGGCGGCACCGCGUCCGGUCCUCGAGCGUAUGGGGCUUCGUCACCCGCUCUAGUAGGCCCGGCCGGCGCCAGCCGACCCCCAACCUUUAAUUAUCUCAGGUUGACCUCGGAUCAGGUAGGGAUACCCGCUGAACUUAAGCAUAUCAAUAAGCGGAGGAA
rnacentral:rRNA from 1 species